AUACAGUUGAUUUGAUAGCACGAUUUUUAGAAUAAAGUUGAUAUAAACAAUUAUUUUUAAAGUUAAAUUCAAUUCAGUUAAAUUAUUUCAUUGGCAUACUAUUUCAAUAUUAAAUAAUUCAGCAUAUUUAAAAUUAUUUUUAAAAUCACCAAAAAGUACCGAGGUAAUUUACCCUAGUCUACACUAGUGUAAAUGUGUUUCCACAAUGUAUGAUCCCAUAUGGUUAUUUUACUCGCUCUGCACUUGUGUGAAUGUGUUUCCACAGUGUAUGACCAGUUAUUGUGAUUUUACUUGCUCUGCACUAUUGUUAAUGUGUUUUCAUAGUAUGUGACCAGAAUUUCAGCUCCGCGUGCGUAUGACCAGAAUUUAAGAAUUACAGAAUUUAAGAAUUCCAGAAUUAUAGAAUUGAAUAGCUUUGCCAUGUAUAUCGGCACUAAUCGAUACAUGAGUAAAGUUAAUCAUUGAGUACUUUUUUGAUGUGAUUUUUCAGUAUUUCUACAACUUAUCAAAUUUCAGAUUAUAGAAUUCAGUUAAUUCAGUUUUCAGAAUAAAGCUUUCAGCUUAUAAUAUUGAGCAGCAGGAAUAUUUCAUAGAUUUUUAUGGAUAUCAUAUUAUUUAUGUCAUUAUACUUUACAGCUGCUUAUCUAGGAUUAAGAACAAAGAAUUUUAUGAUGAAAUUAUG
rnacentral:lncRNA from 1 species